UUGGCGGACGGGUGAGUAACACGUGAGCAACCUGCCUUCGAGAGGGGAAUAACGGCUGGAAACGGUCGCUAAUACCGCAUAACAUACCGGGAGGACAUCCUGCUGGUAUCAAAGAUUUAUCGCUCGAAGAUGGGCUCGCGUCCGAUUAGGUAGUUGGUGAGGUAACGGCUCACCAAGCCGACGAUCGGUAGCCGGACUGAGAGGUUGAACGGCCACAUUGGGACUGAGACACGGCCCAGACUCCUACGGAAGGCAGCAG
rnacentral:rRNA from 1 species